AAGAAUAUACUUCCAGGGAUCAUUUCUAUAGGUUUUGACGUGAGAAAUGUGUUUCUAAAGUGUCUGGUUACAUUAUCUGCAAUGAUGAGUUGUGAUACUUCUUUCUGUGUGUGGAGCGUGCAGAGAGAAAUGAUUCAGUUCAUAUGCCCUCUGUCAUUGAGGAUUGUUCCUUUGGAACUUUAAGAAAAGUAGUAUGAUCAGGUUGGU
rnacentral:snoRNA from 1 species